rnacentral:rRNA from 1 species
GACGAACGCUGGCGGCGUGCUUAACACAUGCAAGUCGGACGGUGAUGCUCCAUCUUGCUGGAGUGGAGCAGUGUCGAACGGGUGAGUCACACGUGAGCAACCGGCCCCAGACUCGGGAAUAAGGGCUAGAAACGGCGGCUAAUACUGGGUAAGAAACUAGCCCGCAUAGGCAUGGUUUGGAAAUGUUUUCGGUGUGGGUGGGGCUGGCGGCCUAUCAGGCUGUUGGUGAGGUAAUGGCCCACCAAGGCGACGGCGGGCAGCCGGCCUGAGAGGGCGACCGGCCACAAUGCGACUGAGAAACGGCCCAGACUCCUACGGGAGGCAGCAGUGGGGAAUAUUGCACAAUAGGCGGAGGCAUGAUGCAGGGACGCCGCGUGGGGGAUGAAGGCCUUCGGGUUGUAAUCAUCUUUCAGCCGGGAAGAAGAGAAAGUGACGGUACCUGCAGAAGAAGCACCGGCUAACUACGUG